UACGGGGGGUCCAAGCGUUGUUCGGAAUCACUGGGCGUAAAGCGCAGGUAGGUGGCUUUUCAAGUCUGUUGUGAAAGCCCAGGGCCUAACCCUGGAAGUGCAGCAGAUACUGUUAAGCUUGAGUAUGGGAGAGGAUAGUGGAAUUCCUGGUGUAGUGGUGAAAUACGUAGAUAUCAGGAGGAACACCGGUGGCGAAGGCGGUUCUCUGGGCCUUACCUGACGCUGAGGAGCGAAAGCAUGGGGAGCGAACAGG
rnacentral:rRNA from 1 species